rnacentral:rRNA from 1 species
UUGGAGGGCAAGUCUGGUGCCAGCAGCCGCGGUAAUUCCAGCUCCAAUAGCGUAUAUUAAAGUUGUUGCAGUUAAAAAGCUCGUAGUUGAACUUCGGGGUUUACUCAUUGGUCAGGCUUAAUUGUCUGUACUGGUGAGAUGAAUCUCUACCUUCUGAGGAACUUUCAUGUCAUUUAUUUGGUGUGAUCGGAAAUCAGGACUGUUGCUUUGAAAAAAUUAGAGUGUUUAAAGCAGGCUAACGUCUGAAUACAUUAGCAUGGAAUAAUGAAAUAGGACGGACUGAUUCUAUUUCGUUGGUUUCUAGGAUCACCGUAAUGAUUAAUAGGGGUAGUUGGGGGCAUUAGUAUUCAAUUGUCAGAGGUGAAAUUCUUGGAUUUAUUGAAGACUAACUACUGCGAAAGCAUUUGCCAAGGAUGUUUUCAUUAAUCAAGAACGAAAGUUAGGGGAUCGAAGACGAUCAGAUACCGUCGUAGUCUUAACCAUAAACUAUGCCGACUAGGGAUCGGACGAAGUUAAUUUUAUAAUGACGCGUUCGGCGCCUUACGGGAAAC